AUACGUAGGUCCCGAACGUUGCGCGAAAUUACUGGGCGUAAAGGGUCCGUAGGCGGUCUGGUAAGUGGAAGGUGAAAGCCUGGGGCUCAACUCCAGAAUUGCCUUCCAAACUGCCGGACUUGAGGCAGGGAGAGGUCGGCGGAAUUCCCGGUGUAGCGCUGAAAUGCGUAGAUAUCGGGAGGAACACCAGUGGCGAAGGCGGCCGACUGGAACUGUCCUGACGCUGAGGGACGAAAGCCAGGGGAGCGAACCGGAUUAGAAACCCUAGUAGUCC
rnacentral:rRNA from 1 species